rnacentral:rRNA from 1 species
UACAGAGGGGGCAAGCGUUAUUCGGAAUUAUUGGGCGUAAAGGGCGCGUAGGCGGCCUGGCAAGUGGAUGGUGAAAUCCCUCGGCUUAACCGAGGAACUGCCAUCCAGACUGCUUGGCUUGAGACCGGGAGAGGUGAGUGGAAUUCCCAGUGUAGCGGUGAAAUGCGCAGAUAUCAGGAGGAACACCAGUGGCGAAGGCGGCUCUCUGGGACGGUACUGACGCUGAGACGCGAAAGCGUGGGGAGCGAACAGG